rnacentral:rRNA from 1 species
AUUGAACGCUGGCGGCAGGCUUAACACAUGCAAGUCGAGCGAGCGGCGGACGGGUGAGUAAUGUCUGGGAAGCUGCCUGAUGGAGGGGGAUAACUACUGGAAACGGUAGCUAAUACCGCAUACCAUCCGAUGUGCCCAGAUGGGAUUAGCUAGUAGGUGGGGUAAUGGCGCACCUAGGCGACGAUCCCUAGCUGGUCUGAGAGGAUGACGAGCGAAGCGGGAGCUGUGAAAAGGUCCAGGAGCCUACGGUAGUGAGCAGGGGGGAAUGUUGCAGAAUGGGCGAAGUCCAGAAGAAUCGAAGCCGGGUCGGGGAAGCAGGAAAUCGGGUUUUAAAGCACUUUCAGUGAGUCGGGGUUACUCUUAGAAGAAGCACCGGCUAACUCCGUGCCAGCAGCCGCGGUAAUUC